UGGGGAAUAUUGGACAAUGGGACGAAAGCCUGAUCCAGCGAUGCCGCGUGAGUGAAGAAGGCCUUAGGGUUGUAAAACUCUUUCACUGGUGACGAUGAUGACGGUAGCCAGAGAAGAAGCCCCGGCUAACUCCGUGCCAGCAGCCGCGGUAAUACGAAGGGGGCUAGCGUUGUUCGGAAUUACUGGGCGUAAAGCGCACGUAGGCGGAUUUGUAAGUCAGGGGUGAAAUCCCGGGGCUCAACCUCGGAACUGCCUUUGAUACUGCAAGUCUCGAGUCCGAUAGAGGUGAGUGGAAUUCCUAGUGUAGAGGUGAAAUUCGUAGAUAUCGGGAGGAACAUCAGUGGCGCAGGCGGCCUUCUGGACGGUGACUGACGCUGAGACGCGAAAGCGUGGGGAGCAAACAGGAUUAGAUACCCAAGUAGUCCCUGAGCGGGCUGGCAAGGCGCAU
rnacentral:rRNA from 1 species